AAACCAUGAUGGGGGCAAAGCCUAAGCAUUUCUUUGAAACGCUCCCACGCAUCGUAAAGAGAUUCACCAUCUUUUUGAGUGUAUUGAAAAAGCCUCGCCCUUAAUUGAGUGG
rfam:Medicago truncatula strain A17 chromosome 5, whole genome shotgun sequence.